UACGUAGGGUCCGAGCGUUGUCCGGAAUUACUGGGCGUAAAGAGCUCGUAGGUGGUUUGUCGCGUUGUUCGUGAAAACUCACAGCUCAACUGUGGGCGUGCGGGCGAUACGGGCAGACUGGAGUACUGCAGGGGAGACUGGAAUUCCUGGUGUAGCGGUGGAAUGCGCAGAUAUCAGGAGGAACACCGGUGGCGAAGGCGGGUCUCUGGGCAGUAACUGACGCUGGAGGAGCGAAAGCGUGGGAGCGAACAGG
rnacentral:rRNA from 1 species